ACUCCUACGGGAGGCAGCAGUGGGGAAUUUUGCGCAAUGGGGGGAACCUUGACGCAGCGACGCCGCGUGGGUGAUGAAGGCCUUCGGGUUGUAAAGCCCUGUUGGGGGGGAAGAUAAUGACGGUACCCCCUGGGGAAGCCCCGGCUAACUACGUGCCAGCAGCCGCGGUAAU
rnacentral:rRNA from 2 species